AUUGAACGCUGGCGGCAUGCCUUACACAUGCAAGUCGAACGGCAGCACGGGAGCAAUCCUGGUGGCGAGUGGCGAACGGGUGAGUAAAGUAUCGGAACGUGCCCAGUCGUGGGGGAUAACGUAGCGAAAGUUACGCUAAUACCGCAUACGAUCUAUGGAUGAAAGCGGGGGAUCGCAAGACCUCGCGCGAUUGGAGGGGCGGAUAUCAGAUUAGGUAGUUGGUGGGGUAAAGGCUCACCAAGCCGACGAUCUGUAGCUGGUCUGAGAGGACGACCAGCCACACUGGGACUGAGACACGGCCCAGACUCCUACGGGAGGCAGCAGUGGGGAAUUUUGGACAAUGGGCGAAAGCCUGAUCCAGCCAUGCCGCGUGCAGGAUGAAGGCCUUCGGGUUGUAAACUGCUUUUGUACGGAACGAAAAGGUUUGGCCUAAUAAGCUGAGCUCAUGACGGUACCGUAAGAAUAAGCACCGGCUAACUACGUGCCAGCAGCCGCCGUAA
rnacentral:rRNA from 1 species